rnacentral:snRNA from 1 species
GGGCUUGUGAGGGCAAUCUGGCUGCAUUAUCUGUUACCCCAUUGAUAGGGUUGAUUGAGCUAAUCUGGCUGGCUAGGCAGGCGUCCCCUUCCUCCAUCACCACUCCAUGUGUGUCCCUCCCAAAGCUGUGUGCUCAAUAAAGGAGGACCAUUUUUUGGUCAAGGGUAUCUGCGUAGCUUCUAGAACCUCCAAACGAGCUCUCAAGGUCCGUUUGUAGGACAAUAUAGGGUAGUCAAGCUUCCAAGACUCCAGACACAUGCAAAUGAAAUGCUGCAUGCCGACACUCUGCCUUGCUUU